AUGGACUUGGGGCUUAUUUGGUUUUUCCUUGUCUUUACUUUAAAAGGUGUCCAGUGUGAGGCACAGCUGGUGGAGUCUGGAGGAGGCUUAGUGCAGACUGGAAAGUCCCUGAAACUCUCCUGUGCAGCCUCUGGAUUCACCUUCAGUAGCUACUGGAUGAACUGGGUUCGCCAGGCUCCAGGGAAGGGGCUGGAGUGGGUCGCACAUAUUAAUGAAAACAGUGGUACCAUCAACUAUGCCGACGCUGUGAAGGACCGAUUCACCAUCUCCAGAGACAAUGCCAAGAACGCCCUGUACCUGCAAAUGAACAAUCUCAAGUCUGAGGACACAGCCACGUAUUACUGUGCAAGAUGCACAGUUGGUGAAGGCUUCUGUGAGCUCAGACAAAAAGCUCCCUGUAGGAAAUGUGGUACCAGCAGGGGGCGCCGAGAACCAACAAAGCUCUGGGUUCCUGAAGAGCCUGUUCAGAGAGGCAAACACGGAUGGACACCUCUGUGCCUUGGCAUCCUCUCCAUAUCUCACACAGGGAUUCUCUCUACAGGUGUGGUGUGUAGUAAUGCUUGA